GUGGGCAGAACGCACACUCCAAGGACAGGGGAUGGAAAGAGGUGGUUCUGACUGCCUUGCCCAGCUCGUGGGUUAACCGGUGGCCACAUCCUCUUGAUGACCUCCCUCAACAAUGAGAUGAAAGCCAUCAGCAAAGCUGAGACCAUGCCUUCAGGACAGACAGCGGAGGACUUUGGGAACUAGAGAGAAGAUACUGUCUGGACAGGGGAUCCUGGUUCUACCCUUUCUCCUGGAGUAUAGUGACAUAAUGUGCUCCUUAGAUAAAAUAUUCAGGGGACAGUUUACCAGCUCUCAUCUCUGAGCUGCUGACAGGCUCAAAAUAGAACAUUCUUUCCAUGUCUUUACAAACCAAGUGUUUCAAGGAAAAGAA